rnacentral:rRNA from 1 species
GACGAACCGUGCAAACGUUAUUCGGAAUCACUGGGCAUAAAGGGCGCGUAGGCGGCUCCAAAAGUCAGGGGUGAAAUCCGGCAGCUUAACUGUCGCAGUGCCUUUGAUACUGUGGAGCUAGAGGGAGGUAGGGGUCUGUGGAACUUCCGGUGGAGCGGUGAAAUUCGUAGAUAUUGGGAGGAACACCGGUGGCGAAGGCGGCCAUCUGGGCUGCAACUGACGCUGAGGCGCGAAAGCUAGGGGAGCAAACAGG